GUGGAGCAUGUGGUUUAAUUCGAAGAUACGCGAAGAACCUUWCCUGGCCUUGACAUUGAUAGAAUCUGCUAGAGAUAGCGGAGUGCCCUUCGGGGAGCUUGAAAACAGGUGCUGCACGGCUGUCGUCAGCUCGUGUCGUGAGAUGUUGGGUUAAGUCCCGCAACGAGCGCAACCCUCGUGAUUAGUUACUAACGGUUCGGCCGAGGACUCUAAUCAGACUGCCUUCGUAAGGAGGAGGAAGGUGAGGACGACGUCAAGUCAUCAUGGCCCUUACGGCCAGGGCGACACACGUGCUACAAUGGGGAGGACAGUGAGACGCAAUACCGCGAGGUGGAGCAAAUCUAUAAACCUUCUCUCAGUUCGGAUUGUUCUCUGCAACUCGAGAACAUGAAGCUGGAAUCACUAGUAAUCGUAGAUCAGCCAUGCUACGGUGAAUACGUUCCCGGGUCUUGUACUCACCGCCCGUCACACCAUGGGAGUUGAUUUCACCCGAAGCGGGGAAGCUAAACUGGCUACCCUCCACGGUGGAAUCAGCGACUGGGGUGAAGUGGUAACAAGGUAACCAAGGGCGAA
rnacentral:rRNA from 1 species